rnacentral:rRNA from 1 species
UACGUAGGGUGCAAGCGUUAAUCGGAAUUACUGGGCGUAAAGCGUGCGCAGGCGGUUAUGUAAGACAGGUGUGAAAUCCCAGGGCUUAACCUUGGAACUGCAUUUGUGACUGCAUAGCUAGAGUACGGUAGAGGGGGAUGGAAUUCCGCGUGUAGCAGUGAAAUGCGUAGAUAUGCGGAGGAACACCGAUGGCGAAGGCAAUCCCCUGGGCCUGCACUGACGCUCAUGCACGAAAGCGUGGGAGCAAACAGG